rnacentral:rRNA from 1 species
UACGAGGGGGGCUAGCGUUGUUCGGAAUUACUGGGCGUAAAGGGCGCGUAGGCGGUACUUCAAGUCAGGCGUGAAAGCCCCGGGCUCAACCUGGGAACCGCGCUUGAGACUGGAGAACUAGAGUUCGGGAGAGGAUGGUGGAAUUCCCAGUGUAGAGGUGAAAUUCGUAGAUAUUGGGAAGAACACCGAUGGCGAAGGCAGCCAUCUGGACCGACACUGACGCUGAGGCGCGAAAGCGUGGGGAGCAAACAGG